GACGAACGCUGGCGGCGUGCCUAAUACAUGCAAGUCGAACGCUUUUUCUUUCACCGGGGCUUGCUCCACCGAAAGAAAAAGAGUGGCGAACGGGUGAGUAACACGUGGGUAACCUGCCCAUCAGAAGGGGAUAACACUUGGAAACAGGUGCUAAUACCGUAUAACACUAUUUUCCGCAUGGAAGAAAGUUGAAAGGCGCUUUUGCGUCACUGAUGGAUGGACCCGCGGUGCAUUAGCUAGUUGGUGAGGUAACGGCUCACCAAGGCAACGAUGCAUAGCCGACCUGAGAGGGUGAUCGGCCACACUGGGACUGAGACACGGCCCAGACUCCUACGGGAGGCAGCAGUAGGGAAUCUUCGGCAAUGGACGAAAGUCUGACCGAGCAACGCCGCGUGAGUGAAGAAGGUUUUCGGAUCGUAAAACUCUGUUGUUAGAGAAGAACAAGGGUGAGAGUAAAACGUUCAUCCCUUGACGGUAUCUAACCAGAAAGCCACGGCUAACUACGUGCCAGCAGCCGCCGUAA
rnacentral:rRNA from 1 species